GUGAAAACAUCUCAGUAACCCCAGGAAAAAGAAAAACAAAGUGAUUCCGUUAGUAGUGGCGAGCGAACGCGGAACAGCCCAAACCAGAGGAAUUUAUUCCUCCGGGGUAGAGGGACUGCAUAAUUCAGUCUUAGAGUUCGGUUUGACCGAUUGGAAAAUCGGGCCAGUAGAGCGUGAUAGCCGCCUGAACUGAAUGACGAGACGAUGGCAGUAUCCCAAGUAACGCAUUGCACGUGAAACUCUGCGUGAAUCUGUCCAGACCACUGGAUAAGGCUAAAUACUCAUUGACAACCGAUAGUGAACUAGUACCGCGAGGGAAAGGCGAAAAGAACCCCGUCGAGGGGAGUGAAAUAGAACCUGCAACCACAUGCCUACAAUGUGUCGGAGCUCCGUAAGGAGUGACGGCUUGCCUUUUUGCAUAAUGAGUCUGCGAGUUAUUACCUGCCG
rnacentral:rRNA from 1 species